GCUGGGCGCGGUGGCGCUCGCCUGUGAUCCCAGUGGCCUGGGAGGCUGCGGCAGGAGGAUUGUGAGUUCAAAACCAGCCUCAGCAAUUUACCCAGGCCCUAAGCAACUCAGUGAGACCCUGUCUCUA
rnacentral:sRNA from 1 species